rnacentral:rRNA from 1 species
UACGGAGGGGGCUAGCGUUGUUCGGAAUUACUGGGCGUAAAGCGCGCGUAGGCGGUCCUGCAAGUCGGGGGUGAAAUCCUGGAGCUCAACUCCAGAACUGCCUUUGAUACUGGGGAUCUCGAGUCCGGAAGAGGUGAGUGGAACUCCGAGUGUAGAGGUGAAAUUCGUAGAUAUUCGGAAGAACACCAGUGGCGAAGGCGGCUCACUGGUCCGGUACUGACGCUGAGGUGCGAAAGCGUGGGGAGCAAACAGG